rnacentral:rRNA from 1 species
AUACGUAGGGAGCGAGCGUUGUCCGGAAUUACUGGGCGUAAAGGGCGCGUAGGCGGCGCUUCAAGUCGUCUGUCAAAUGGGAGGGCUUAACCCUUUUUCGCAGACGAAACUGGAGAGCUUGAGAAGCAGAGAGGCAAACAGAAUUCCUGGUGUAGCGGUGAAAUGCGUAGAUAUCAGGAAGAAUACCAGUGGCGAAGGCGGUUUGCUGGCUGCAUACUGACGCUGAAGCGCGAAAGCCAGGGGAGCAAACGGGAUUAGAUACCCCGGUAGUCCUGGCAGUAAACGAUGUAUGCUGGGUGUGAGACUAGCGAUAGUUUCGUGCCGAAGUUAACGCGAUAAGCAUACCGCCUGGGGAGUACGGUCGCAAGACUGAAACUCAAAUGAAUUGACGGG